rnacentral:rRNA from 1 species
UACGUAGGUGACCAGCGUUGUCCGGAUUUACUGGGCGUAAAGAGCGCGCAGGCGGUCGUUCAAGUCGAGUGUGAAAGCCCCCGGCUCAACUGGGGAGGGUCACUCGAUACUGAUCGACUUGAAGGCAGGAGAGGGAAGCGGAAUUCCCGGUGUAGUGGUGAAAUGCGUAGAUAUCGGAAGGAACACCAGUGGCGAAGGCGGCUUCCUGGCCUGUUCUUGACGCUGAGGCGCGAAAGCUAGGGGAGCAAACGGG